UUAAGAAUCUUGUGCAAUGGGCGAAAGCCUGACACAGCGACGCCGCGUGCGCGAUGAAGGCCUUCGGGUUGUAAAGCGCAAUAGACAGGGACGAAGAAAGUGACGGUACCUGUUGAAAGCACCGGCUAACUACGUGCCAGCAGCCGCGGUAAUACGUAGGGACCAAGCGUUGUUCGGAUUUACUGGGCGUAAAGGGCGCGUAGGCGGCAUGACAAGUCACUUGUGAAAUCUCUGGGCUUAACCCAGAACGGCCAAGUGAUACUGUCGCGCUAGAGUGCAGAAGGGGCAAUCGGAAUUCUUGGUGUAGCGGUGAAAUGCGUAGAUAUCAAGAGGAACACCUGAGGUGAAGACGGGUUGCUGGGCUGACACUGACGCUGAGGCGCGAAAGCCAGGGGAGCAAACGGGAUUAGAUACCCAAGUAGUCCCUGAGCGGGCUGGCAAGGCGCAU
rnacentral:rRNA from 1 species